rnacentral:rRNA from 1 species
GACGAACGCUGGCGGCGUGCUUAACACAUGCAAGUCGAACGGUGAACCUCUUCGGAGGGGAUCAGUGGCGAACGGGUGAGUAACACGUGGGCAACCUGCCCCCGGCUCUGGGAUAACUCCAAGAAAUUGGGGCUAAUACCGGAUGUUCACCGCUUCCCGCAUGGGUGGUGGUGGAAAGGGUUUCCGGCUGGGGAUGGGCCCGCGGCCUAUCAGCUUGUUGGUGGGGUAGUGGCCUACCAAGGCGACGACGGGUAGCCGGCCUGAGAGGGUGACCGGCCACACUGGGACUGAGACACGGCCCAGACUCCUACGGGAGGCAACAGUGGGGAAUAUUGCGCAAUGGGCGGAAGCCUGACGCAGCGACGCCGCGUGGGGGAGGACGGCCUUCGGGUUGUAAACCUCUUUCAGCAGGGACGAAGCGCAGUGACGGUACCUGCAGAAGAAGCACCGGCCAACUACGUG